AAUAGAUACCCAGGUAGUCCACGCCGUAAACGAUGAGUGCUAAGUGUUAGAGGGUUUCCGCCCUUUAGUGCUGAAGUUAACGCAUUAAGCACUCCGCCUGGGGAGUACGGCCGCAAGGCUGAAACUCAAAGGAAUUGACGGGGGCCCGCACAAGCGGUGGAGCAUGUGGUUUAAUUCGAAGCAACGCGAAGAACCUUACCAGGUCUUGACAUCCUCUGACAACCCUAGAGAUAGGGCUUCUCCUUCGGGAGCAGAGUGACAGGUGGUGCAUGGUUGUCGUCAGCUCGUGUCGUGAGAUGUUGGGUUAAGUCCCGCAACGAGCGCAACCCUUAAUCUUAGUUGCCAUCAUUCAGUUGGGCACUCUAAGGUGACUGCCGGUGACAAACCGGAGGAAGGUGGGGAUGACGUCAAAUCAUCAUGCCCCUUAUGACCUGGGCUACACACGUGCUACAAUGGACGGUACAAAGAGCUGCAAGACCGCGAGGUGGAGCUAAUCUCAUAAAACCGUUCUCAGUUCGGA
rnacentral:rRNA from 1 species